CCCGUAUGGGUGAAAUGCCGGAGGGGACAUUACCGAGAUUACAACUCCCAAACCCCUGUGAACAUACCAAUUGUCUGCCUCGGCGGAUCAGCCCGCUCCCGGUAAAACGGGACGGCCCGCCAGAGGACCCCUAAACUCUGUUUCUAUAUGUAACUUCUGAGUAAAACCAUAAAUAAAUCAAAACUUUCAACAACGGAUCUCUUGGUUCUGGCAUCGAUGAAGAACGCAGCAAAAUGCAAUAAGUAAUGUGAAUUGCAGAAUUCAGUGAAUCAUCCAGUCUUUGAACGCACAUUGCGCCCGCCAGUAUUCUGGCGGGCAUGCCUGUUCGAGCGUCAUUUCAACCCUCAAGCCCCCGGGUUUGGUGUUGGGGAUCGGCGAGCCCUUGCGGCAAGCCGGCCCCGAAAUCUAGUGGCGGUCUCGCUGCAGCUUCCAUUGCGUAGUAGUAAAACCCUCGCACUGGUACGCGGCGCGGCCAAGCCGUUAACCCCCACUUCUGAAUGUUGACCUCGGAUCUGUAGGAAUACCCGCUGAACUUAAGCAUAUCAUAAGCGGAGGAAACCCCACGCGGAGG
rnacentral:rRNA from 1 species